rnacentral:rRNA from 2 species
CCUGACUGCUAUCGGAUUGAUACUAAGCCAUGCGAGUCAUUGUAGCAAUACAAGGCAGACGGCUCAGUAACGCGUAGUCAACCUAACCUAUGGACGGGAAUAACCUCGGGAAACUGAGAAUAAUGCCCGAUAGAACACUAUAUCUGGAAUGGUUUGUGUUCCAAAUGAUUUAUCGCCAUAGGAUGGGACUGCGGCCUAUCAGUUUGUUGGUGAGGUAAUGGCCCACCAAGACUAUUACAGGUACGGGCUCUGAGAGGAGUAGCCCGGAGAUGGGUACUGAGACACGGACCCAGGCCCUAUGGGGCGCAGCAGGCGAGAAAACUUUGCAAUGUGCGAAAGCACGACAAGGUUAAUCCGAGUGAUUUGUGCUGAACGAAUCUUUUAUCAGUCCUAGAAACACUGACGAAUAAGGGGUGGGCAAGUUCUGGUGUCAGCCGCCGCGGUAAAACCAGCACCUCAAGUGGUCAGGAUGAUUAUUGGGCCUAAAGCAUCCGUAGCCGGCUCUGUAAGUUUUCGGUUAAAUCUGUACGCUCAACGUACAGGCUGCCGGGAAUACUGCAGAGCUAGGGAGUGGGAGAGGUAGACGGUACUCGGUAGGAAGGGGUAAAAUCCUUUGAUCUAUUGAUGACCACCUGUGGCGAAGGCGGUCUACCAGAACACGUCCGACGGUGAGGGAUGAAAGCUGGGGGAGCAAACCGGAUUAGAUACCCGGGUAGUCCCAGCUGUAAACUAUGCAAACUCAGUGAUCCAUUGACUUGUGGUCAAUGCAGUGCUGCAGGGAAGCCGUUAAGUUUGCCGCCUGGGAAGUACGUACGCAAGUAUGAAACUUAAAGGAAUUGGCGGGGGAGCACCACAAGGGGUGAAGCCUGCGGUUC